AGCAGACGCUAGGGGAGCCUUUGGCUGAGAGGAAGGCAAACAAGCCUUCGACCCUUAGAACCUGAACUGGGUAAUGCCAGCGAAGGGAAGCGGAAGAGAACUCCU
rnacentral:ncRNA from 2 species